rnacentral:tRNA from 1 species
GCCCCUGUAGCUCAGACGGUUAGAGCAGGGAACUCAUAAUUCCAGGGUCGCGGGUUCAAGUCCUGCCGGGGGCA